rnacentral:rRNA from 1 species
UACGGAGGGUCCAAGCGUUAUCCGGAAUCAUUGGGUUUAAAGGGUCCGUAGGCGGUUUUGUAAGUCAGUGGUGAAAGCCCAUCGCUCAACGGUGGAACGGCCAUUGAUACUGCAAGACUUGAAUUAUUGGGAAGUAACUAGAAUAUGUAGUGUAGCGGUGAAAUGCUUAGAGAUUACAUGGAAUACCAAUUGCGAAGGCAGGUUACUACCAAUAUAAUUGACGCUGAUGGACGAAAAGCGUGGGGAGCC